rnacentral:rRNA from 1 species
GUCGAGAAUCUUUCACAAUGGGGGCAACCCUGAUGGAGCGACGCCGCGUGGAGGAUAAGGUCUUCGGAUUGUAAACUCCUGUCAUGCGUGAACAAGGUUGCUUGGUUAAUACCUGGGCAAAUUGAUGGUAACGCAAGAGGAAGAGACGGCUAACUCUGUGCCAGCAGCCGCGGUAAUACAGAGGUCUCAAGCGUUGUUCGGAGUCACUGGGCGUAAAGGGUGCGUAGGUGGAGUGGUAAGUCAGAUGUGAAAGCCCGGGGCUCAACCUCGGAACUGCAUCAGAUACUGCCAUGCUAGAGUACUGGAGAGGUGACUAGAAUUCUCGGUGUAGCAGUGAAAUGCGUUGAUAUCGAGAGGAAUACCAAAGGCGUAGGCAGGUCACUGGACAGUUACUGACACUGAGGCACGAAGGCCAGGGGAGCGAACGGGAUUAGAAACCCGAGUAGUCC